GAUGAACGCUGGCGGCGUGCCUAACACAUGCAAGUCGAGCGGCAGCGCGGGGUGCUUGCACCCUGCCGGCGAGCGGCGGACGGCUGAGUAACGCGUGGGAACGUGCCCCAAAGUGAGGAAUAACUGCCCGAAAGGGUAGCUAAUACCGCAUAUUAUCUUCGGAUCAAAGGAUUUAUCCGCUUUGGGAGCGGCUCGCGUCGGAUUAGGUAGUUGGUGAGGUAAUGGCUCACCAAGCCGACGAUCCGUAGCUGGUCUGAGAGGAUGACCAGCCAGACUGGAACUGAGACACGGUCCAGACUCCUACGGGAGGCAGCAGUGAGGAAUCUUCCACAAUGGGCGAAAGCCUGAUGGAGCAACGCCGCGUGCAGGACGAAGGCCUUCGGGUUGUAAACUGCUUUUAUAAGUGAGGAAUAUGACGGUAACUUAUGAAUAAGGAUCGGCUAACUACGUG
rnacentral:rRNA from 1 species